AACUGAUACUACCUGCGGGAACCUGCGGAAGGAUCAUUAUUGAAUAACUUGAUGGGUUGUCGCUGGCCUCUUGAGGCGUGUGCACGCCUGUCUUGACUCUAUUCAUCCACCUGUGCACCUUUUGUAGUUCUCUGUUUUCUGAAGGUCAAGAAAAAGCAAAGCUGUUUGUUCAGUUGAAACACACUGGAUUUGGGGACUGCCUUAGUUGGCUUUCUUCUACCUGGCCAUGUAAAAUAUUGU
rnacentral:misc_RNA from 1 species